CAUCUGUUAUUUACUUCAUUUUAUUUCCUCUACAGAUGUAACCUUUCCCCUCAGUAGACAGCUUUGCAGGCUGUUCUUGUGUUUGCAGUCCCUGUGUAUAGCCUUCUCAAAAUACAAACGGCAUAUUUUGAGGUUGAAGACCUGAAAACUGUGACCCCUGUUGCCUAGCAACUGAGAAGCUCAGCCUCAACUCCGGGUGGGGGAGAUGAUGGAGAAAGGUACUGCAUUUUGAUAAAUUGAAGGUUUGUGGAACGCUGCAUUGAGCAAGUCUAUUGGUACCAUUUUCCAACAGCAUGUGCUCACUUCAUGUCUCUGUGCCACAUUUGGUUUUUGCAAUCUCCAGGAACGCCAGGCCACAUGAUUGAAACAGUUGUUCAAUUUUUCUUGCUGAAGAUGGUGAACUGGGUUAAGUUUAGAAACAACCAUAGCUGGAAAAAGUAUGACUUUGUUAGCUGCUUACUUCCUUUUCAGAGAAAAAAUACUUUUCUAGUUUCUUUCUUUAGUUACAAAAAUAAUAUGUGCUAAUUAUAACAAGCCAAUCAAUGGAGAGGCCUGCGGAUAUGAAGUUCAUAGUCAUUCAUUCACUCUUCUGCAGAGUGGCUCCCCAAGGCAGCCAACAUUGACAAGCAGGCUUGUGUGUUUCCACACUGUCUCUUGAGCGAGGCUUAUUUAGUCUACACUUGCCUCCUUUAAAGCUGUUCACAAGCAGAUGAGGAUCAAUCUCGGAUUCUAGAAGGAAGAACCCAGCCCCUACUGUUAGAAGGAGCAGUGAAGGCGGCAGGUCAAAGCACAGCCUGGAGCCGACUGUCUGUGUCCAAAUCCCACUUCACCACUUGCUGCAUAACUGGAGCAGAUGAUUCAGCUUUUCUCUGCCUUAACUGACUCAUGUAAAUGGGGAUAUUAAAAUAUCACAUAUGGAUUAUUAUAUUGACUAGGAAGUUAAUGCAAUACAGCAUGCAUAGCAGUUAGUAAGCACUCAAUAAAUGGUAGAUAUUAUUAUUUUCUCUCUUGUGGGAGCAACAAAAGUGAAAAGAAUGACCCUUUGGUAACUGGGGAUCUGAGUAUACACAGACUGUACCAAUCAUAACCACAAUCACCAAAAAAACUACAUUUGUGGAGGCUUAGUGUUAACACAGUCCCAAAACACUUCAUCUAUUGAUUCCCUUAUAUGGCUAGAAUUUAACAUUAAUUCUUUUUUCAUUUUUCAGGAAUAAUAAAGAACAUCAAUAAAAUUAUAGGCAUAAUUUUUAAACAAUUUUAUUGAAGAAUAAUUAUAUGUAAUAAAAUUCACUGGCCGGGUGCAGUGGCUCAUGCCUGUAAUCUCACCACUUUGGGAGGCCAAGGCGGGGGGAUUACUUGAGGCCAAAGUUUAAGACCAGCUUGGGCAAAAAAGCAAAAGCCUGUCUUUACUCUCUCUCUCUCUCUCUCUCUCCAUAUAUAUAUAUAUAUAUAUAUAUAUAUAUAUAUAUAUAUAUAUAUUUUUUUUUUUUUUUUUUUUUUUUUUUUUUAAAUAGCCAGGUGUAGUGGUGUGCGCCUCAAGUCCCAGCUACUUUCAAGGGGCUGAGGUAAGAGGAUUGCUUGAGCCCAGUAGUUGCAGGCUGCAAUGAGCUAUGAUCCCACCACUGUACUCCAGCCUGGGUGACAGAGUGAGACCUUGUCUCUAAAAAUAAAUAAAUAAGUAAAUACAAAUUUUUAAAAAUAAAAAUUCAUCCAUUUUAAGAAUACAAUUAAAUAAGUUUUAGUAAAUUUACCAAGCUGUGCAACCAUCACCACAACCCAGUUUCAGAACAUUUACAUCACCCUUGGAAGCUCCCUCAUGCCUGUUUACAGUUAACCCCAGUUCCUAUCCCCAGCUCUGGGCACCAUUAAUCUACUACUCUCUGUCUCUAUGACUUUGCUUUUUCUGGACACUUCAUAUAAAUGGAUUAUGCAGUAUGUGGCCUUUUGUAUCUGACUUAUUUCGUUAACAUAAUGUUUUAAAGAUCCAUCUACACUGAAGUACGUAUCAGUAUGUGUUCCUUUGUACUGAGGAACUGUAUUCCACUGUAUGGAUAUACCACAGUUUGUUCAUCCAUUCGACAAUGGAUGGACAGUUGGUUGUGUCCACUUUUUAGCUAUUAUGAAUAAUGUCACUAUGAACAUUUGUGUACAAGUUUUUGGGUGGACUUACGUUUUUAUUUCUCUUGGGUAGAUACAUAGAAGUGAAUAUAGUACAUUUAUAUUUAACUUUUUGAAACUAUUAAACUGUUUUCUACAGUGAUCGCACCAUUUUAUAUUCCCACCAGCAAUGUGUGAAGGUUCUACAGGUCUAAACUUAAAGGUCAAAAUAGAAAGAAGAUCUAAAAAUACAUGAAUUCAAGUGCUGAAUGUCCGUUCUCUGACACUGGUUAUCUUCUAAACUCCCCUUUAAUGAAAGGACAGGGAGAAUCCUUCCCCUGCCUUCCCCAGAUUCUCAUUUCCCAUAUUUUGCUGUUUGGCUAAGUGGGGGCUCCCUCACCUCAUUUAGUCCUGCUAAUUCAGGGAAAGCAACCCUGUGCUCCUCCACUCCUAGCAACCCUAAGAGGCUAUCUAAAGUGGAAAGAACAUUUUACAAAUGCAAAUUCAGUCCUUGGGUAUGGCAAGAGAAGAGUUAAUGCAGUUUGUAAUAAUUAUUGACUACAAGAACUGCAAAUGAUUGCAUAAAAUUUCUAAAAUAUGCCUGCAAGGUUCUCUUAUUGAUGUGUUGCCCCCAGGGGUACACAUAUGGGUUUAAGUGUCUAAACUGUUUUAUUAAUUAAAUUGCUAUGAUUUACCUCUCCCAUGUUAGCAUUUACAGUUUAUGAAACAGCCCUGUAAUUAGAAAAUGAUGUACUAGUGUUGCUUGUUUACUUUGUGGGUGAAAUAUUAUACACACACAGAUGUGUAUGUGUAUAUAUAUACACUCACUUAUAUAUGUUUAUAGACACACACAUGUGCACGCGCGCACACACACACACAAAGUGUUUUUUCUUGGGUCAACCCUCAUAGGCUACUUUAUUUCUAGUCCAAUUAAUAGGCAACCUCCAGUGGUGCAUUAAAUUGGUUUUUAGCGGGAGGGGGAGGAUAACUGAGAAGUUCAUUGUUCCUGCUGAGGUGUGUCAUGGCAUCCAUGUAUGUUUGUUUAUUUUCCCUCCAUAGACAGACAAUUGAAAUCACAAGAAUUUAUUGUAAAAAAAAAAAUCUGUUGAGAACAGCCCUGAGGAUACUUCAGCAAAUCCUAAAACUGUACCUACUUUAAUUAUACAGCAUCUUAUUAUCUUCUGCGUCCAUUCUGAAGGUAUAUGUAGGAAUAUAUAAUAUAAAUUACCUGUGCUACAUAGACAAUGCCUAAAUAAAGUUGUUGUUGAAGUGCUU
rnacentral:lncRNA from 1 species